AGCAAAUGCUGGGGUCCAGGGCCCUCUCUGCAGAAGCUGCUUGCCUACAUGGAUGGACCUUUGCAUCCCUCCAUCCAUCUGCUGACUCAUUCACUCAUUCCUUCACUCAUAGGGUGCUUUCAAAGAGCCUGCUCUUCUCCAUGGAGAACCAGACGGUCCAGGUAUGAGAGGCUGAGGGACUGCUGCCCAGAUGAGGUGGGGUGAAGAUGACCUCUCUCCAGGGUGAUGUGAGGAAGUGGAGCUCCGGAAGAGCGUGCUGUUGGCCCACUGUGUGUGCUCAGUUACUGGAAGAUGUUUUGGCUGUGGCCUCAGACAGGCACUUGAGGCAUAGAUGUAUAUACAGGUCUGCCACCCGAAGAGGCAAACUGACUUGGCUUGGCCCAGCCUCUCACCCCUGUGGAGGGGACCUCUUCCUACUCAUUGCAGACGGGUUCACUUGUUCCCAUCACAAGCGCAGAAUGCCUUGUACUUCCCACCCCUUUGCUCCCCAGGGAGCUCUGCAAGUCCCCAGAAAUACUUGCCCAACCACUGGCACCCUUGGCAAGGUCCAGCUGCUGACCACCAGCGCCCUGCGACUCCCAGUGCCCGUGACGUCUGGAGGAACUGAGCAAUGGCUGAGGUGGAAUUUCAUUUGGCACUUAAUGCAAUCCUCUGCUUCUGCCAGAGGCGGUGUAUUCUAUAUAAAGCUGCCAAACCUGGCCGUCUUCUCACUGAGCCUUGACCCCUUCCAUCCAAGGGCAAGGCCACGGAUCGCUGUGCAUGACUCCCGCGCAGUAAAUGUGGCAUUGGGACCUAGCCCAGCUGAGCUGAGCAAAGCAGGCCUGCCUGGCGGAAGUGGGUCCUCUCCACUCUAACCUCUGGCUCUGAUGAGCAGCGGCUACAUAAACUGAGACAGGAUAUAGACACAUCCUGCCUGAGUUAGCAGCAAGAAAUAGCCGCCCCCCUUCCGCCCCCCCCCACCCCCCUGCCGUUCUCGCACAGCAGGGAUCCUGCCAUAAAUCAGUCCGCAGUCUAAAGCGGAAUGGCUUGCAAGCAAGGGCUGCGCCGCUGUUUGUCUCCCAAGGCAAGUGUUGAAGGUCUGAAACCUGAGUCCUGGAGAACUGCUUGAGCGGCUGGGCUGGGCUGGGCACGGGGGCGGGGGUCAGGCAAGCCCAUCCUCUUUAGACAUGGGAAUGCCUGUCAGCUUCACCUCCUCAGUGCCUGAAUUGGAAUAAUGACAGUGGCUUCUGUCCCUUUAACCCAGGACCCGCCAUAUACACACACACAAACACGUGCUCAAGUUACACACACACACGUAAACUCCGGGAACCACAGUCUCAUGUACAAUGAUAUAAACAUGCCCAGCACGGAUCCAGCACUUAUGAUGUGUCAGUCUCUGUGCCGGGACAUUGACACGGACUUCUUACUGCUGGAUGAGGAAUCUCCUGUUAUUAUUCCUACUUUGCAGAUGAGGAAACUGGAGCUAAGAGAGGCUGCCUUGUUUAGAGGCAGUGCAGUGAUCCCAGUGCAGACUGAGGGGCCUCGCUCUCAAGUACCAUUGAUGCUCGCACACUCCCAGGCCGACCCAAGCACAACCACGGGCGCGCGGAGUGCCGUGUACACACGUAGACCGAAGCUACGCUCCUCCAUGCCAAGCUCCAGGCUCAGGCAGGGUGAGGGUUGAGGCCUCACAACUCCCUGGAUUUCAAAGACUUGUAAAAGAGUUGGUGUCUCCAAUACCCAUAUCAUCAUCGUAUCAAUAAGGUAACAUUAUCACAUGAUAGGCUCAGGCUCUCUCCUCUCUGACAGACUCUAAGAAUAAGACCGCGGCAGGGUGGGGGAUAAGAGGGAUAUGCAUUAGGUUUUUAGGUAAAAUAAAAUGGUAGUUAUUAUUGCAAAAGUAACAGCAGAGGAAGAGGGCAGAGAGAGGCCCAGCAAUGUUUCCAACCACCUACAAAGACUUUCAUCGCAUAUGAUUUCCUGUCAGCAAGAAAACGUGAUGGUUUAAAAGAGAAAGAAAACAAGCAGCGAGGAAUGACAAAUCCCCAAAGGACCCAGGCCGCAGGAUUCCCCCGCAUCUGUGUGCCUUUGCGGCGCCCAGCGGAGCGAGCAAGUCCCUGGGCAAGGCUGGAGUUGCCUGGAGUUCACCAGAGCCUGCCCGGUCGGCCCCUGGCUGGGGGAGCAGCACAGACGCAACUUGUGAUGUGGACUCUUCCCUAACUGUUCUUUAGGGGGACAGUGCUGGCCCCACACAUUCCACAUGCCCCGCACAAAGAAACAGAAAGCGGGCGACACGCCCUGGGCGGGCGGGCUGGCGGCCUCUCCAGCUCGGGGCGCGUGGAGGCUGCGCGUCGCCGUCCGGGACGCGGGACAGGGACUCCGCGCAGCCCAGGCGCCGGGGAACCGGGGCUGGAGUCGGGGAUCUGAGCCCAGCGGGCGCCUCCUCCGCCUGGAGGCCGGGCACGGACCGGGACACCCGGGAGUCCGUGACCGCGGCUCGGCCCCUGGCUGCUGCGGGCCGCGGCCUCCAGUGGGUCCCCAGGACCCCUCCCCACGGCGGGUACUCACCGAGGCUGAGUGGCCGCGCCGUGCCGUUGGGGCUGCUCGUCCUGGGCAUCAGCCCGGGCAGAGACCGCGGGGAAGGGCCGGACCGGGCCGGGCCGGGGGAGGGUCGCGCUCCCGGGCUCCUGACCCUCAGCCGAGAGAGGAAGCGGCACCUGGGUCACACUCCUCCCGCGCGGGCCGAGGGGAGGGGCUCUGGCCCGGAGAUAGGCAGACUUCAUUUUUUUUCUGCAGACUUGGCUAGUGGGGUUUCCACCCUUUUUUUUUUUUUUUUUGAACACACACCCGCCCACUUCUGAACUCUUCUUUGCUCCAACUUUCCUGCGCAAGAACCACGCUUUUCUAACCGUUUCUCUUUCCAUCUGCCACUACCGGAUACAGAGGUUGUGGUUGAGAAUUCCCCCUGGAGUGCAGGGAAAACUCUCCAAUGUGUCAAGAUGGCCUGGCCCAGCACUGUCGGGAAUGGUGACCAAAUAGGGCAGACCUGUGUUGAAAUCUUGGCUGGCUGCGCCGCUGGAUAGCUGGGCGGCCUCUCUGAGCUAGCCACGGGGCAUUUGUCCCUGGAGAGAGUCCCUGUCUUGUUGGCCUUUGGGGGCCCUGUACCCAUGGAUGGGGUGUUGAGCAAAGAUCGUUCCAAAACAGGAAGAAUUGCUGGACAAGGGUUGUGAUUUGUUCCCAUUGCUUUUGUGUGAAGCUGCCAGACACAGUGCAGUUUGUGAAUUCGCUCUACUUUUGCCAUGAAAACCUCCACAAGGAUUUCGUUACACACCUUGGUUGGUUAAAUGCAGUCAACUGGCACCACCUACAAAAAAGUGUAUCAUAGCAUUAUCUGCCCCUUCUGCCCAGAGACAAGGGCAGGGAACUUGAGGCCCUUGCUUUAAAUCCCCGCCCAGGGGAACACCCUGUGCUUCUCCUGUGUGAUAUCUGAACCGUCCUGUGCUGCUUUUCUUUUUUUUUUUUAAAUUGUACUUUAUGUUCUAGGGUACAUGUGCACAACGUGCAGGUUUGUUACAUAUAUAUACUUGUGCCAUGUUGGUGUGCUGCACCCAUUAACUCGCCAUUUACAUUAGGUAUGUCUCCUAAUGCUAUCCCUCCCCCUCCCGCCACCCCACCACAGGCCCAGGUGUGUGAUGUUCCCCUUCCUGUGUUCAAGUGUUCUCAUUGUUCAGUUCCCACCUGUGAGUGAGAACAUGCGGUGUUUGGUUUUCUGUUCUUGUGUUAGUUUGCUGAGAAUGAUGGUUUCCAGCUGCAUCCAUGUCCCUACAAAGGACAUGAACUCAUCCUUUUUUAUGGCUGCAUAGUAUUCCAUGAUGUGUAUGUGCCACAUUUUCUUAAUCCAGUCUGUCAUUGAUGGUUAUUUGGGUUGGUUCCAAGUCUUUGCUAUUGUGAAUAGUGCCGCAAUAAACAUAUGUACUUUAUAGUUCCCCAAGCACUUUUGUGACGCCCUCGUCUCCCCUACCUUCUGCCAUUAAGGCCUGUCCUGCACAAUCCAGAGAGCCAGGCCAGUUGUCUGUACAAUGUAUGGGCAGUGCCUUUGGGGCUGUCAUCUGCAUUGAAUACAAUGAGAGGCUGAGCCCUGGAGAUGUGCAACACUGAGGCUUUGCUCACCUCUACCUGGGCUGCACAAACUCCAGGCCUUCUUGACGCAGUGGGAAAGCACUUAUGAUUCACUUUAGUUAGAUCAUGAAGAACCCCCGAUGCUGACAGAUCUUUAGUCCAACUGCCAUGUGCAGCACAGCCAUGUUGAAUUGAAAUAAACUCCUCACAGAAUGCCCUGAGUCUUGAUUUCCUCAUCUAUAAAAUGGAGGCAAGAACACCUGCAUU
rnacentral:lncRNA from 1 species